rnacentral:rRNA from 1 species
GCUGGCGGCGCGCUUAACACAUGCAAGUCGCACGAGAAAGUGGAGCAAUCCAUGAGUAAAGAGGCGUACGGGUGAGUAACACGUGGAUCAUCUACCUUUUAGUGGGGAAUACCCCCGGGAAACUGGGGAUAAUACCGCAUAAGCCUGUAAAGGGAAAGCAGCAAUGCGCUGAAAGAGGAGUCCGCGGCUGAUUAGCUAGUUGGUGAGGUAAUGGCUCACCAAGGCGAAGAUCGGUAGCCGGCCUGAGAGGGCACACGGCCACACUGGCACUGAAACACGGGCCAGACUCCUACGGGAGGCAGCAGUGGGGAAUCUUGCACAAUGGAGGAAACUCUGAUGCAGCGACGCCGCGUGAGCGAUGAAGCCCUUCGGGGUGUAAAGCUCUUUCGACGGGAACGAUAAUGACGGUACCCGAAGAAGAAGCUGCGGCUAACUACGUGCCAGCAGCCGCGGUAAUACGUAGGCAGCAAGCGUUGUUCGGAAUUACUGGGCGUAAAGAGUGUGUAGGCGGUGUUCUAAGUUUGUCGUGAAAUCUCCCGGCUUAACUGGGAGGGUGCGG